UGUAUGCUAAAACACACAAAUGUAAUAUAACAAAAUAUUAAACAACAACACUCGAAACUAUGUUGAUAACAAUACCGUUAACAGGAAUUAUAUUAUCAGUUGAAUGCGCUUUGGUGUGAAAAUAAUUCACAAUCGUUAGUGCGGUGACGUUAUACAUUGAAAUAAGAAGCAUAAUGAGUUUAAUGAGCCAAUUCUCUUUCAAGAUAUCGGCGCACGUGACAUUUAUUUAAAUGGGCAAUAGCACACACAAUUGUGUGAUAAACUAGCCGUGUUGCUUUGUCGUUAAAACAACGAACCAUGGUUUUAAUUAAACUAAUAUAUAGUGUUGUAAUAUAUUCAUGCAUCAAUAUCGCAUAUACGCAAAGUACAUUUGCACUGGAGACUUCACCCUUGGACAAAACAACUUCGGUGAGUUCUCUUUCUUCUGCCGGAGACGUUCAAAUAUCAUUUCAUCCAGACUUAUCAUCCGACCCCACUACAUCACAGCAACCGCCUGCAAAGACGCCAUGGGAUUUCAUUUUAUCAAUGCCGUGUAUUAUCCCAAUCGCCGCUGGUUGGGGCCUCGUGGUUAUACUUAGUGUGAUACUUGUUAUUUGCGUAAGAAAAAGACAAAAGGAAAACUCAAUUUAUAAAGCAGAGCUGAGGCACGAUUUGCAGAAGACCCCGAGAUUGGCGUCAUACGAUAAGCUGAAGAGUGGACACUAUUCAAAUGACUUUCUUGAAGACACAUCACGCGGAUAUUCCGAGGUUAAAGAGUUAAAGAUUGCAAGAGAUUUGCGAACGGAAUACGAAACUGUGAACGAGGUGCUGAGUAACAAUGCAGCUUGUUGCGCUCCAGUGGCGUCCAAUGAUGAACUUGACUGUAAACACUAUGCCAACACGUUUUCGAAAGAAACCCCACACGGAUAUACUAAUGUCACUAAAUUCAGAAUGAAUAUAAAACAUUGACUCGUGUACCGUACACAAUACUUGUGAGUAUCGACUCUCCAUUGUGUAUGACACAGUCGCAUAUUGAUGGGGCGCAAUGACUGGACGCUCGUAAGGACGUAUGGUAAUUUAAGGUCAUUCUCCAAAAGAAAAAGUGAACAGGAAAAAGAAAUGAACUGUAAUAUAAUAAUUGUCAUCAUUUAAAUGUACACCUUCUAUUAAUGUAUAUUUUUGUGUGUAUCGUUUUUGUGUAGUUGAAUAUUUGUAUAUACAUAUAAGUAUAUAUGACUUCUUAACAUAGUAUUUAUUUUGAAAAUGUACGUAUGCACCAUUUCCAUUAGCAUUCCUUAUUUCUACUUGCUCAUGAUUUUUAAAGACAUAUUGCCAGAUCCUGCCUUAAUUGAUUCUCACAUUUGCUCGUGCGAUAAAAGACAGCGUUUUCGAGUAGGUGUGCAUUCUUAACGGUCUCAUACUAAUAUUUAAGCAAACAUAUACUUCGAUAUUUUGAAAAGAUAAAUUAUCACAAUUUAAAACAUAAUAUGGAAUUGAAUCAGUAGUGAUGUGUAGUACCCCAAUAGUAUGCAACAACUGGUGAUUCCGUCUUAUAAACGACAUAUGCUUUUAUUAAUUAAGACCUAAUGCCAGUUGAUGAAUUGGUUAUAUUUAAUGUCAAAGUGAUUGAAACAUACGUUAGUGUUUUUGUUUUGUUAAUACAUGUUCUUUUGAUUUUCGCGAGUAGUUCAUAAGAAUAAUUAAUAUAUAGUGUUAAAUAUUGGAAAAGUUUACACAAACGUUUGUUACUGGCAGCUGUUUUGGGAGUGAAGUAAGCUUUAAUGUUGAUUUGUUAUUUACCUCCCAUCUUCUUAUUCACAUAUGUCUUCAUAUACAUAUUCACAAAUUUCUUUGAUUAAAUCGACUUUUCUGUU